AUUGCUAGGAUCAUUCUGUCUGCAACUUCAAGAGCAGAGAUGAUGGUAUCCUAUGAAGAGCAAGACUCUGGAAAAAGUUACAUCUGAACUUGACUCCCAUUUCUGAGUCUUUACCUGCUACUUAUUCUUGGGCAUGUUUCUUCAACUCUUCUAAUCUUCAAAUUUCAUUAUCUGCAAUUUGGAGAGGAUCCAUCAGACAAGUGAGGUCACAGGGCGAAUCUCUGUUCCCAAAUUGAAGAGACUGACAGACAAAUACAGAGAAUCACAAUUUACCAGAGCAGAAACUCAUGAGCAGAAGCUGCCUCCAGAUCCAGUGCCAGGGCAAAGCAGUACAUAUACCACAGUUGCAGUGAGGCUCAAAUGAUAUAAAAUAUGCACAGCACUUCCAACAGGCCCAGCACACCAGCAAACACUGGAUGUCAGAUGUAUCUUCCAUCAGGACAGAAAGAUCCACCGUCUCCCAUCCUUCUGAAGAAUGAAUGUUUUGUUGACUCACACUUCACACCAGCGAAUUGGCUUUGCUAUUCAAUUUCUAGCAGAAAAGAUUGCCUAACGUAAUCUAUUCUAAAGGUUAAAGUCUUUGGACCUUGACCAGACAUCUGGAAUAGCUACACAUUGGAAGCAUUUUAAAGACGAUUGCCUUUAACUCAUAAUGACCAACAAUUCUCAAUAACUUUGUGAUAAGAAACAAUAGUCAAUAAUCUUCUUCAAGCAUUUCCUAUAGGAUGUGAUUCCCUAAUUAAAC